AUACGGAGGAUCCGAGCGUUAUCCGGAUUUAUUGGGUUUAAAGGGUGCGCAGGCGGCCAUUUAGGUCAGCGGUUAAAUCGUGGGGCUCAACCCCAUUCUGCCGUUGAUACUGGGUGGCUUGAUUGCGGUCGAGGUUGGCGGAAUUCGUUGUGUAGCGGUGAAAUGCAUAGAUAUGACGAAGAACACCGAUUGCGUAGGCAGCUGACCAGACCGCAAAUGACGCUCAUGCACGAAAGUGCGGGGAUCGAACAGGAUUAGAUACCCUGGUAGUCCGCACAGUAAACGAUGAAUACUUGUUUUCGGCGAUAUAAUGUCGGAGGCAAAGCGAAAGCGAUAAGUAUUCCACCUGGGGAGUACGCCGGCAACGGUGAAACUCAAAUGAAUUGACGGGG
rnacentral:rRNA from 1 species